rnacentral:lncRNA from 1 species
GGGAGGCGGAGCUUGCAGUGAACCCAGAUCGCGCCACUGCACUCCAGCCUGGGCGACAGAGGGAGACUCCAUCUCAAAAAAAAAAAAAAAAAAAAAAGUUUGAGAAGCACUAGGCUCACUGCCCAAUGUGUUGUUCCUAUCAAUUCCAUAUUCACUGCUUAAGUCAUUUGGUCAGAUCAUGAAUAUGAGGUAGUUGAUCUAUUAGACAGUGAAUAAAGGUAAUUUUGAAUAACAGAUCUUGAAAAACAUGAGACCGUUAAAAUUUAACAUUUUUGCAUACCUUUGUGAAAAUCCUUGGCUAAGACUUAGGAGUCAUGAAACAGUCUUGGUGAGAGUUUGUAUGGGUAGGUAACUAGGUGAGGCUUGGGUAUCACCCAGAACCUACCCCUGACAAGAGCAGGGCUGCUGUUUUAUGCUUUUGACUUUUACAUAUUAAAAUUUUCUUUUUGGUCUUGAUUAUUUCAGGCAAGAAAUAAAUUAUAAUUCAGAUUGUUUAUUGCCUCUAAGUAAUGUGUCAUUUCUGUCUGGCUCCUUUGAAGAUUUUUAUCUUUAGUUUUCACAAGUUUAAUUACGUUGUGUCUUGUUAGGGACUUUGGGUUUUAUUUGGGAUUCAAGCUUCUUGAAUCUGUAGGCAUGGUGGGCUGACAAAUGCAGUCCCCCCCUCAAAAAAAGAUAUCCAUGUCAAAUCCCUGGAACCUGUGGACAUUACCUUAUAUGAAAAAAAAAAACAAAGGGUCUUUCGGGUAGGCAUCGUGGCUCAUGCCUGUAAUCCCAGCACUGGGAAGCUGAGGUGGGAGGAUCGUUUGAGCCCGGGAGGUCAAGGCUACAUUGAGCACCACUCACUCCAGCCUGGUGACAGAGUAAGACCCUGUCACCAAAAAAAGGUGGGAGUGGGGAGUCUUACAGAUGUGAUUAAGUUAAGAAUCUUGAGAUAAAGGAGUAAUCUUAGAUUAUCUCAGGUGGACCCUAAAUACUAUCACAGGUAUCCUUGUAAAGAAAAGAAGAGAAAAUUGACACACAGAGAAAACACAGAAAAGAGAAGGCAAUGUAAUCAUGGAGGCAGUGGCUGGAGUGACGGAGCCACAAACAAGAACACCAACAGCCUGCAGCUGGAAGAGGCCAGGCAUGGAGUCUUCCCUGGAGCUUUCGGAGCCUGCAGACACCUUGAUUUUGGUCCAGUGAUUUUUUAUUUCCGACUUCAGGCCUCCAGAACUGUGAGAGAACACAUUUCUGCUCUUUUAAGACAAGAGGUUUGUGGUGAUUCGUUAUGGCAGCACAGGAAACUCAUGCAGCACAUUUAUAUUUUUUACCAAAUUUGAGAAAUUUUCAGACAUUAUUUCUUCUGACACUUUCCAGUUCCACCCUCUCUUUCCUCUUUUUCUUUAACUUCAGUGAUUUGAAUCUUAGCUCUUUUUAUUUUUUAUUUUUAUUUUUAUUGCGAUAGAGUCAUGCUCUUGUCGCCCAGGCUGGAGUGCAGUAGUGUGAUCUUGGCUCACUGCAACCUCUGUCUCCAGGGUUCAAGCUAUCAUCCUGCCCCAACUUCCCAAGUAGCUGGGAUUACAGGCAUGCACCUCCUCACCCAGCUAGUUUUUUUGUAUUUUUGUAGAGACAGGGUUUCACGAUGUUGACCAGGCUGGUCUUGAACUCCUGACCUCAGGUGAUCCGCCUGCCUCGGCCUCGCAACGUGUUGAGAUUACAGGCAUAAGCCGCCACGCCCGGCCCAAAUCUUAACUCUUUUUAUUGUCUUACAGUUCCCUGAACCUCUGUUAAAUUUUUUUUCAGUCUAUUUUCUCUCUGUUGUUCAGACUGGGUUAAUGCCACUGACGUGUCCUCAAGUUUAUUGUUUCUAUUCUCUGUCGUCUCCACUCUAUUAUUUUUUCCAGCUUGUUUUUCAUUUCAGUUAUUUUAUUUUGCAGUUCUGUAAUUUGCAUCUGGUUCUUUUAAAAAAUAAUUUCUAUUUCUUUGCUGCAUUUUUCUAUUUUUUCAGUUUGUUUCAAGAGAAUUUUAACCACAUGUGGAGGCAUUUUUAUGAUGCCUGCUUUAAAGUUCUUUUCAGAACAUUCCAAAAACUGAUAUUGCCUUUUCUCAUUCAAAUUGUGGUCUCCUGGUUCUUGGCUUUUGUGGAGUUUUCAGUUGUAGCCUAGCCUUUUUGGAUAUUAGGCUAUGAGCCUCUACAUCCUAUCCAAUCAUCUUUUUUAGCAAGCAUUGCCCCUGGAGGUAGCACAAGGGCCAGGUGGGUGACUGUGUCCAUCUUCCCACUGAGCCCUGCCAGUACCAGUGUGAACAUUGAGCAAGCCAAAUUCACACCACCUCCUUGGACUGCAGGGGAUAAAGGUUCAGCCUUUCUUCGUUGUUGACCCCUUCUGGGUAGAAGUUGGGCACUAAUUCACACCACCUCAUUGCCUACAAGGUUCAGGAGCUCAGCUCAGCUCUUUGCUAGGCUCUGUUGACCCUGGGGAGUGAGAAGCAGAGGGCUGACUUCCGUCAUGGGAGUAGAGGCUCAACUCACCCUGGACCCCCUGACUCUACCAUGGCAGGGAGACUUGUGUGUCUCACUUGUGUCCCCGGGCAGAGGGUGCACCAUGAGCUCCCUGCUCAACCCCACCACAGCGGGCCACCACCUGCUCUGUGGUAGAGGGGGCAGGUGGAAAAUCAGCACCUGCCAGGCCACCGACACAGGUAGGAGUGGUUUGUUUUUUUUUCUUGAUAUUUGACUGGAGUAGGGGUGGCAUUGCCAAAAGGUUUUCUGUCCUUAGCUCAGCUUUCCUGGCCCGAGGCUUAGCAUGCCAGCCUGCCUGGGGCCUUCUGAGUCUGUGCCUGUGGUGGUCUGGCGGGAGGCUCUGUGGCUGCGCCUGGGAUACUGGGAGGCAACACCACGUGUGGUUUCCCAGGUUCCUAGGCAGCGGCCCCUUGUCAGUCUCCCCAAGUGCAUUUGUUGUGUUGUGUCAGGGCAUUUUUUGUCUUGAGAGGAGGACCUGGAGGAGUGGGACUGCUCCAUCUUGGUGGAGCUACAAGCAAUCAUGCAUUGAUGAUUUUGUAUUAUUUUACUUGGUGAAGAGUUCUCAUAAAAACCUGAAAAUGACUCAAAAAUUCCUUCUGGGGCUGAAAUUCUCAGUCUUUGUCAUUUCAACUAGGUGGGAAACAAAUCCUGUCCCAUUCAUUGCAUUCCUAAGGCUGUUGGUCUUUAUGUUGCUACCCCAGAGAGGCAGGGAUUGCUUUAGAGUUGAAUGUGGACACCCAGCCACCUGGCUUCACCUCCUGGCUCACUUAACAAUUAAACAAUUCUACUUAAACAAUCUACUUGGCCUGUCUUUGCCUCAGUCUGCUUAUCUGUAGAGAGGGGACAGUAACAGUGUUAAAAAGUGCCUGGCAGAGAGUAAAUACUAUACCUUGCUAUUACUAUUAUUCCUUGGCUUUGCAAAUGUUAUACCCAUGAAUUCCCUCCUCCUAUGGAAUUCUCUCUUUUAAUCUCAUGUAUUUUCUCACUCAGACUCAGCUAUCUAAAUUAACGUGAGUUUGGAACUGGGAAGUAUCAGGUACAGAAAAGGCAUGGGAUUAGGGACCUUCAGCUCUGUGAGGGGCGCAGGAGAUCUGAAGAACAGCCUGGAAGAAGGAUGUGGAUGCCAAACCCGGUCUUCCGGAAGUGAGCGAGAGUUCAUCCUUUCCCAGCGGGUGCAGGUAGAAGGAACAGUGUUCAGAGGGUCCAGGUAUUCCCUCCAUCUGCUGUGUCAUAAGUGAUCUACAGGGGGCUUUUGGCUCCCUGCAUUUGCUUGGUUCUUUUAAAAGUGUUAAAAAUAAAGCAUUUACAUCAUUCUUUCAUACACUUAUUAUAGUAUUAUUCAUCUUAGACCAAAGUCUCAUUCUAGUAUUUUUGAUUAUAGGCAAGGCAAUGGUCCAGAUACUUUCUAAAGCAAAACUGCUUUCUGUAUAUAUUGAAGAAAACCAAUGGGAAGAAGAUGUCUAAAGCAAGCAUGUGUGAAGGCCUAGGGCUUUUUGUAUCAGUAUAAACAAAAUGCAGCAGGGCAUGUCCAUGAGUUUCUUUUUGCCAUACUGAUGAAAGACUAGAGAUGAAAAAGUUACACUGUUCUUUGUGGGGGGAGGAGUAAGCAUUAGGAUGAAAGUCACUUCCAGAAACCACUAGGUAGGCAUGAGGUUGUAAGGAAGGCUACGCUCCUGGCUUCCUUCCAUAUUCGUGGUUUUAUCCUACUGCCCCUGCCAGACCUCUUAUCAUAGCUAUAAACAUUUCUAUAGCUAUAAGCAUAUUUUCAUUUGCAUGACCUUCACUUAUUUCUGCAAAGUCCAUAGCUAAAAGUCUUGGACACAGCCGUCACGUGCUGCUCCAGCCAACUUCCCAUGAGGUCAGUCCUUAUGCAUCGCCAUCCUGACUGUUGGUGGCCGCAGCGCUCAUCCUCAGCCCCAGGUGUGCAACAAAAAAGGAGCUUCUCCCAACUCCUAAUUGCAUGGAAAGGCUGCAGGUAUUUCCUGGCUUUACUUGCAUAACCUUUAGGUAUGUGUUGUCUGAAACCACGUCUUUCCCAUAUUGAUUUUUCAUGAGGGAGGGACAUAAUUCUGACAGAGAUGUAAAAAGCAACAAAAAUGUUCCUCCUUCACCAACAUAGAGCCUCCUGCUCUAUACCAAACACAGGGAUACAGAGAUGAAUGGCAUGGCCAGGCACGUACAGUGCGAGGGGCUGCAGGCCUGCAUGUGGAAUGUCUCAUCACAGCCUCCAGUUGUCCCAGUAGCAUGCACAGAGGGCACGGGUGAGUCUGGAGGAGCCAUUGAAGACUUCUCUAGGGAGAGACGUUUGUGUGAGAUCACAGACGAUGUGUGGGCAUGUGCCAGGUGGCAAAGAAGAGAAGGCUUGUGAGGAAUGAAACUUGGCAUUCAUAAAACCAGUGUUUUUCUCAAAAGCCAGUGUCUUGCAUUUAAGUGGGAUUAGAAAUAAAUAUUCCCAACACAUGCAGGUGAGGAAGAUCUGUGGCCCAGGGCAGCCCAGGAGAGAGGACCUUUCUCUGCCAGGACAGAUCCCCUUCAGGAGGCCCCUGAUGGAAAGGCAGUGGUGGGCCUGGGGAUUCCAGGAUGUUGGACUCCUGCCCUGGAUGGAGAGGCUCAAUUUAGGUGAGAAAACCAGCGAUGGGCUUUGGGGCUUCCCUCACCUGUAGAUUUCAGAUACAGCAGGUAAGGGACAGAUCUGGAAAACUACAGAAGGAGUGGGGCCUGGGGUUCAAAUGAGGAAGACUCAUGGAAACAGUGGUGAUGAGAGGCCAGUAGACACCAAUGACCUCAGCCUCCAGAGAACCCUACAAACGCUGACCCAAGAUGCGGUCAGAUGCAGCCCUUCCUGGUUGAUUAAUUUUUGGGCUGCCCAAGUGUGGGGGUGCACACACCAGUGCAGCCCAGGAUUUUGUUUUCACAGUGACACCUCUCAUCUUCUCUAGGCUUCUCACCUCUUAGCCUGGGCUGUCAUCCAGGUCUUGGAGAAGUCAAGCAACUUGUCAUGGGCAGGAAAAGACAGCCCAGAACCCAGAACCUGGAAAUACUGAUAUUUGGGGGAGAGGGUCAUGUUUCCCCCAGACAUCUCUGCCCCAGCCCUCAGCUGUUGGGAUGAAGAGGUGCUACCCGAUUACUAAAUGGGUGGGUGGAUUGUCCUUGGAUUGCAUCUAAAAUUGCAUGUCUAUUCAUCCAUCAAUUCACUCAAUGAAUAUUUUGCUCAUCUACCACUCAAAUAGAUUCAGCAAACAUUUCCUGAGCACCUACUUUGUGCCUAGUACUAUGUGCUAAAUCCUGGGCACACUAAUAAGACACAUUUCCUAUUAUUGUUCAAAUGUGUGAUAUAUGAAUAAGACACAUAUUCUACUACACUUCAGAAUACUGAUUUUUAAUUGCAGUGGGGGAGGAGAUAGGUCUGCAAAUCACAAAAGGCCUUUCCACCACUUUGCCCCACUAGGUGGGACUUUCUGUUAUUGACUAUUGGAUUAUAUCAAGUUCUUCAAACAGGUUAGAGCACACAAAGGGUUAGGAACCACUGAUUCAGGUGCCAAAGCCAAGAAAAUAAAAUAUCUAUCAGGAAACGUAAGGAUAAGAUACAUGUCCAUGAUAUACUACAAGUAGGUUGAGAAACUGCUUUCCAAAGUCCUGGAAAACAAGAAUCUUUACAAGGAUUCUCUCCAAUGGCUGUUCACACAUGUGUGGGCUCAGGGACCUGGACAAAGACUGUGUGAGCCAUGGGCAUGAAGGUUUAAUCACAGGACAUCAUUUCUGCCAGGAACAGUGUCAUGAAGGAGCUGGAGUGAGCAGGUCCCCAAGGGAGGCAGUAUGGAGUGGGACCUGAGCUAGAGGCUGGAACUGUGUCUGACUCCACCACGGACUGGCCAGUGUGGGUCCCUCUGGCUGUUCCUGUGCCUGCCUGUCCUCAGCCUCAGCAAAAUGAGCAGCGAGAGAAGGUGAUACCAAGAUCCGUUCCAGCUCCCGAGCCUCUGACUCCAGCUGCCUGGCUCUGAAAUCACCGGCUGCCCCCUGAAGUCCACCACUCUCCUGUUGGUGCCCGUGCUCCUUCCCCUGAAUCACAAGGGCACUGGCCGUGUCCCUAUUGUCCUGGCUGUGUACAACCUCUACCAAGGGGUUACCCCGUCUAGAUCAUCUCCUUGGUCCUUAUCAGCAAUUUGGGCUUCCCUUUCUUCCUGUGUCCUCUCUCUGUGAGAUGGUAAGUGUGGUAAAACAAACAAGCAAGCAAACAAAACCACCGUCCUGCUUGAAAAGCAAUUUAAAGGCAGAGGGAUUUUAGAAUAGCGCACCUUCCACCUAGUCAUCCCUGGAUCCCGUUUCCUUACAUCCUUUCAGAUCCCCUUCCACCUGGAAGUGUGCGCCUCCAAAAGCAGUGGCAGGUUCUGCUUCACACCCCAAGAAUGACGCCUGGCAUACACUGAUCCUGCUGCCUUAGGAGGAGAUACUCAAGCGCUGGAAGUCUGCCCUGCCUGCAGAAAAGGCUCCGUUCAGCAGCUGCAUACUGCAUUUUCCAUGUGUAUGUGACUUUAACACAGGGGAGAGAGAGGGCUACUGUCUUGCCACCCAGAUGUGUAUUAUAGAUGUACACGGGACUAGUAUCCAUGUGUACAGCAUCCUGUAUGGUGUGUAUGCAACAUGCAUACCAUAUAUAGGUAAUGUGUUGAGAUCUGGGCAGACUUCCGAUAGCGUUUGCAUGAGUAAGGAAACCUGCCUGUCUCUUGGUCCUUUUAAUGGUGACCUGACCUGAAUAGCUGUUUACAUUUUUUUAUUUAAAAAAAAAUCUCCAAAGCAAUGGUCUCCACGUGCCAGUCCCUGAACAAUGAAGUUUUCAACAGCUUCCAUAAAAACAAAUAAAGCAGGACAAUGUACAGUUAGCCCUCCAUAUCCAUGGGUUCUGCAUUCCUGGAUUCAACUAACUGCAGAGCAAAAAACAAAAAAAUUUUAAUGCAUCUGUACUGAACAAGUGCAGAGGUUUUUGGUUACUAUUCCCUAAACAAAACAGUAUGACAACUAUCAACAUUGCAUUUUCAUUGUAUUUGGUAUUGUAAGUAAUCUAGAAAUGGGAAGAUGUGUGAAGGUUAUCUGCAAAUACAACACCAUUUUAUAUCAGAGACUUUAGCAUCCAUGGAUUCUGGGAUCCAGGGGGGUUCCUGGAACUAGUCUCCCAUGGAUACCAAG